rnacentral:rRNA from 1 species
UACGUAGGUGGCAAGCGUUGUCCGGAAUUAUUGGGCGUAAAGGCGCUGUAGGCGGAUGUUAAGUCCUGUGUGAAAGCCCUUGGCUUAACCAAGGAAGUGCGCAGGAAACUGGCGGACUUGAGUGCCGGAGAGGGUCGCGGAAUUCCCGGUGUAGAGGUAGAAAUUCGUAGAUAUCGGGAGGAACACCAGUGGCGAAGGCAACGACCUGGACGGACACUGACGUUGAGACGCGAAAGCGUGGGGAGCAAACAGG